AGCGCCAUUUUUGGAGCUAUAA
rnacentral:miRNA from 11 species